rnacentral:tRNA from 1 species
UCCCUGGCAGUCCAGUGGUUAGGACUCAGCACUUUCACUGCUGGUACCUGGGUUCAAUCCCUGGUUGGGGAA